UGCCACUUCUGAGAAUGAAAAGCAACCGCUCCAGACUUGUCCUGUGCAUCACUGCCAUUCCAAAGCCUCCGACGUCACAGUGGUGUUUCCAGUAAGUGAUCUCACUGGAAUGAGUCUGGUGAGACAGACCUGUACUUGGGAAAGAGGCUUUUCUUCCUGCAGAAUUUCAGCAUCACCAUCAAGAGUGCGAGUAAAUCCCCCACACUUGACAGCCCCAGUUUCAGAAAUCAAGAGAGUCUGA
rnacentral:lncRNA from 1 species